rnacentral:rRNA from 1 species
GUAGUGUAUGUCAUACUUCCAAGAAAAGCUUGCACUGUCAUAAGUAAAAAAUGCCUGUACCAUAACCGACACAGGUGGGUAGGUAGAGUAUACUAAGGGGCGCGAGAUAACUCUCUCUAAGGAACUCGGCAAAAUGACUCCGUAACUUCGGGAGAAGGAGUGCCUUAUUUAUAAGGUUGCAAUAACAAGAUCCAAGCAACUGUUUAUCAAAAACACAGGUCUCCGCUAAGUCGUAAGACGAUGUAUGGGGGCUGACGCCUGCCCAGUGCCAGAAGGUUAAAGAAGUUGGUUAGCAUUAGCGAAGCUGAUAACUGAAGCCCUGGUGAACGGCGGCCGUAACCAUAACGGUCCUAAGGUAGCGAAAUUCCUUGUCGGGUAAGUUCCGACCCGCACGAAAGGCGUAAUGAUUUGGAUACUGUCUCGGAGAGGGGCUCGGUGAAAUAGACUUGUCUGUGAAGAUGCGGACUACCUGCACCUGGACAGAAAGACCCUAUGAAGCUUUACUGUAACUUGAAAUUGAAAUUGGACUUUAGUCGCGCAGCAUAGGUGGGAGGCUUUGAUGAUGUUCUUGCGGGAACAUUGGAGCUAUCAGUGAGAUACCACUCUUCUAAUGUUAGGUUUCUAACUUUGAACCAUUAUCUGGUCAAAGGACAGUUUCAGGCGGGCAGUUUGACUGGGGCGGUCGCCUCCCAAAUGGUAACGGAGGCGUACAAAGGUUUCCUCUGAACGGAUAGAAAUCGUAUCUAGAGUGUAAAGGCAUAAGGAAGCUUGACUGUGAGACCUACAAGUCGAGCAGGGACGAAAGUCGGUCUUAGUGAUCUGACGGUACUGAGUGGAAAGGCCGUCACUCAACGGAUAAAAGUUACUCUAGGAUAACAGGCUGAUCUCCCCCAAGAGUUCACAUCGACGGGGAGGUUUGGCACCUCGAUGUCGGCUCAUCGCAUCCUGGGGCGGUAGUACGUCCCAAGGGUUGGGCUGUUCGCCCAUGAAAGCGGUACGCGAGCUGGGUUCAGAACGUCGUGAGACAGUUCGGUCCAUAUCCGGUGUAGGCGUUAGAAUAUUGAGAGGAGCCUUCUUUAGUACGAGAGGACCGAGAAGGACAUACCUCUGGUGUACCAGUUAUCGUGCCAACGGUAAACGCUGGGUAGCUAUGUAUGGAGUGGAUAACCGCUGAAAGCAUCUAAGUGGGAAGCCCACCUCAAGAUGAGUAUUCUCAUC